GUCACAUCCCCAGCCACAGGCCCUGAUGCCAAAGCCCCAGCCUCUAGCUCCAGGCCGCACGCAUUUUCCGCUGGAGACAUGACGCCGACCCACAGGAAACUAGCUCUGGAACUUCAGAAAUAUAUCUGAUGAAGGAAAGUUUCAGUGAAAAUCUUGCAACACCCCUCUGAUCAAAAAGAAAAUUCAAUUUUCCCCCUAGUCCUCUAUUAAGUGCUGUUGUUGGUUCAAUAUGUUAUAUGAAGACCUCUCAAUUUUCUGAAUUUCCUUCCUGGAAGACAUGGUCAUUUAUUUCAAGUAUGCUCUCAUCUCUAUGCUCAAAGACAGCUUGUGUAAACUGUUUGAAGACUCUGUCCAUAUAAGUGGCCCAUCGAGGAAAUAUCCCCUCCAGGAAGCCGAUGUGACCACCAUGUGCAGUUAGUAAUAAUGCAACAUUGGGAUUCUGUUUGGCAGAUUGCAUAGGUAUGGCUGAAAGAAAUACAAAUGUCAGAACAGUCAUGCAUGAAAGUUGUGCAAUCAAUUCAACAAAUGAGACAAUCAUGAAUAGUGAAACCCACUGAAGUGGUAUGCUUAUGGGAUCAACUUUAAUGUAAUAACAAAUAAUUUCCACAUACAUGACUGUUUUAA